rnacentral:rRNA from 1 species
GAUGAACGCUGGCGGCGUGCCUAAUACAUGCAAGUCGAGCGAACGGACGAGAAGCUUGCUUCUCUGAUGUUAGCGGCGGACGGGUGAGUAACACGUGGAUACCCUACCUAUAAGACUGGGAUAACUUCGGGAAACCGUAGCUAAUACCGGAUAAUAUUUUGAACCGCAUGGUUCAAAAGUGAAAGACGGUCUUGCUGUCACUUAUAGAUGGAUCCGCGCUGCGUUAGCUAGUUGGUAAGGUAACGGCUUACCAAGGCAACGAUGCAUAGCCGACCUGAGAGGGUGAUCGGCCACACUGGAACUGAGACACGGUCCAGACUCCUACGGGAGGCAGCAGUAGGGAAUCUUCCGCAAUGGGCGAAAGCCUGACGGAGCAACGCCGCGUGGGUGAUGAAGGUCUUCGGAUCGUAAAACUCUGUUAUUAGGGAAGAACAUAUGUGUAAGUAACUGUGCACAUCUUGACGGUACCUAAUCAGAAAGCCACGGCUAACUACGUG